GUGGACCUGGGGCUCCUGGAGGAGGACGACGAGUUCGAGGAGUUCCCCGCCGAAGAUUGGACUGGUUUAGAUGAAGAUGAAGAUGCACAUGUCUGGGAAGACAAUUGGGAUGAUGACAAUGUAGAAGAUGAUUUCUCCAAUCAGUUAAGUAUAUCUAUCUCUUCUAUACAGAGCUGAACUAGAAAAACAUGGAUACAAGAUGGAAACAUCAUAGUUUUUCAGAACAUGGAGUGGCUUGACAUGGAACUGUGGAUAGACUAUAUUAAGAGAGGAAGAAAAUGUGGAAAAUGAGAAGACACACCUAGUUCAUUAUCUGCUUGGAUUUAUUAUUGUUUUGUAUAAAAAAUAAAGUUUUUAAACUUAGCCUCGUCAUACAUUCAGCCGCUGCUCACCUGGUACCUUGUAUUUUGGUUCUGAAAUGCCUUGUGUGAUGGAAUUCAUGGACUUGCCUUGAAUGCCACUAAUGAUCUGUCAGUGGCUGAUGAUCUUGCACCAGCUCCUAUCAUGGGGAGCUAAAUACGUGUAACCAGAACGAAGACUAGUGAACAUUUCUGUUGCAGGGAAUGUGGAGGUGUCAAAAAGAAAUAAAAUACUGGUGUAUUCCAAUUAAACUGUGGUAGAGAUAGAAAGCAGUUUUAGGGAGUGAUUAAGCUUGUUUUGCAUCAACACUUUAUUUCAUAAUUACUUGGGUAUCUUUGUUAGUAAUUUCAUGUGGGUGCUGGUUUGAUAGACUCAGAAGAUAAAACCUGCUUUAAAGUGUCCUGUAACAGCAGAAACCCAAACUCUCCAAUCUGGUCCAAUCAUUUCUCAGGCCUGUUAACAAGGACACCUCUCUGGAGGUGGAAGAAGUUUAAGCCUAGGAGUCUCUGCUGAAAUUGCCUUCAAUUUGCCAGUUACAGCAAUUUAUCUGUAUCACACAAACAGGCCUGCUGAAAACAGAAAUCAAACUUCCAGCUUGUUUCACAUAAGCGAGCAGAUAGUUGUGAGAUAGAUAUGGCAGUAGUGACUGGAUUUGAUUACUCUCUGAACUAGAAAACAGAAGGUGAAAAUUGCAAAACCUAUGACCACUUCCAUGAAUCUUCCCCAAAGGAGCUGUUCAAGCUGGUGUGUGUAAAGACAGAGGGAGAUGUAGGCAUGACUUCAGAUUUAUUUUUUUUUUUAAAUAAAGAGGCAACUAGAGUUACAUACUUAUGGAAUUUGAAUUAGCUGCUUGCUUUUUCAGCAGUUCACUAGAGAAGCAGAGACUUAAUUAUUAUUUAUAGUGAGCUUUCAAAAUAAAGGUAUUAGUUGAUGGACAUGCAGUUAUGGUAUUAAAUGCUCUAACCUUGUUAGCUAAAUAACUGAGUCUCUUAAGUUAUAAUGGCAUUUAUUAAUGCCAAAUGCUAGGAAGUUCCCUUCCCCCACACUAUUAGGUGGUGCUAUAUUGUAGCAGAGGCAAGAUUCAUUGUGACCCUUACUGCUUUCUAAAGAUAAUUCUGUAAAGACUGAGACCUUCCAUUGCUAUCUGAAUGGCUCUGCAAAACUAGAUGUUUCAGAUGGUUUUGGAUGUUGUCAGUCUGUCCAGUUCUGUGCUGCUUGGGAAUAGAAAGGGAGGCCCUUUCAAGUAGGCUUGCCCUAGGGUCAUUGAAGUUGUUCACAUUGAAAUGUAUGUCUCGUGCAACCCAACUCAGUAGAAUACCCAGUCCUUGAGUUCCUAUUUUGACAAGUAGGAAAUGAAAAGUCUGUCUAUUGAGUGGCAAAUAGCAACACAAACAUCCUCAGGUUAGUGUUGGGAGUUUAAGAACAGAGUAUGUUGAGUACAGUUCUGGGAUUGCUGGUGUUAUUAAUGCAUGGAUACUGGGAAGUUGAGUAAUGUGACUGACCAAAAGAAGACGACAAAAUAAUUAUGGAGAUGUCUGGUGCAAUCUGGAGAGGGACAGCUGCUUUCCAUUACAGGAUUUUGGAAACCUGACUAAAGCAGCCCUGUUGCAUCAAUUGCUAGCAGCUGGAGGAAGCCAUGGAGGUGGAAAAGCAUCUUUGCCUCAAGAAAUCUUUGUUUUUGCUGAGCUACAGUUGCAUUGGUAUCUUUUUCCACUUUUUUCACAAAAGCAGAAUUGGAAGGAAAGCCUAGGCUGAGGUAGCCUGGUGGCUCUGCACUCUUGUAGUAACAACCUUCAGCUGGUGGGUUAUGUUCUGAAACCUGGUGUUCUAGAAGGAAGUUGAGGUGGUUGGCCAGGAUGUCACUGUAGCAAUUCACCCUAAUGUACCUGCUGUUCAGCCCUAGAAGGAUCUAAUCUUCCCAUAUGAGAAGAGCUUACUUGAGUUUUUUAGACUGGCCAUUUGAAGGUGUUCCAGUGAUCCCUAUUAGCAGAGGAAUGCAUGAAGUGUGGGAGAUAAGAAUGCUUUGGGGUUGUGAGGGAGGACAGAGAUUUGGGAAGGAAGAUCUGCAGCCUGGCAAGGGUGGGAAUGUGGUGAAGAAAGAGAAAUUUGGCAAAGAUCUGAGUGAAGAAGUAGGACAUGUGGGGGUGUGUACAUGGCGAUGGCUGGGCGUGGGCUGCUGGGUAGUCUCCUUCCCUGUUUUGGGAAGCAGAUUUAGGUUGAUGUCACCAUGUGUUUGGGGACCUGUCCUCCUCUCAGCCAAGCAGUGGGACUCUUGGCCAAUAUCUGUAGUCUGAGCCAUGCUGGGAUAUGUGGCACAUGUCUACAGCUCUCCUCUACGUGAAGGAGGGGGUGUUUUGCAGUGUAGGGAAAGUUGACUUGCUCUGACCUAGAUGCUGAGGAUGUCUCAAGGCAAAGCACUGUUCCACUAAUUUGGAGGAAAGCUCUGGAAGGUUCCUCAUUGCCAAUGAGUUUGACGCUUUUGCUCUGCCUUGGUCCUUGAGAAACCACACACACAUAAGAAGAAAUGCAUAGUCACAGAUAAGCACAGAAAACAGUGAGCAGUCCAAAGUAAGGCCUGUCUGGAAAGCCUUCAGUUGAGCUCUUUUGUUUCACAAUAACCUUCUUUGGCCCUCCCUCUCUGCUAGCUUGCACAACAGCACCGACAGCUUCCCCACAUAGUUCUGCUCUUGGGUCACAGUGUGUCCUGUUCCCCACUUCCUGCACUGUGUCCACACUGUGCUGUACAGAACGAGUAAGUGUGGGUCUCCAUACUGCAGCAGUCCGUGUGUUUGCAAAUGCAAAUACAUUUUCCACCAUCCCUUGAAGAGGGAAAAGUGUUUUCCCCUUUUGUAGUGUAUAGUAAUUUUAAGUGCUUGGUGUGAGACCCCAGGACCUCAUCUUUCACUGGGUUUGGUAUUAUGUGAAAUGCUCUGCACAUUCAAAUGUUUCUUUAGCUUUGGUUACUGUUGUGCAUAUUCAGCAUUUCUAAGGAUCAGGAUUUAUGGGGUACCAAGUCAGCCACCCAGAAAACGAAGAACAUACAUUAUAAGAUUUGCAGCUUCUGUAAAGAAUGAGGCAAGGACUCCACAAGUGGAUACUUUUCCCUGCUAGCUUUUUCUUGAACCUUAUUUUUUCUUAUCCUGUUUUUUCUUGAACACUAAUAAGGAUUAAUAAGUCCCCUGAGGGAGAGGGUGCAUAUAGGAAAAUAAUGAUCAUAAAAUUAAAGACUAUGAGAAUACAUAUGUAUGGAAAAAGGAAUUUAUAUUGCACAGAGUUACAGUUCCAGCAUUUCUUAUCUUUUGACUGUCUGACUUUACAGCCCUAAUAAUAAUCUUGUAAUGCAGGUAUGAUUUUGUGUUUGCAUAAUGAUACAGCUAAAUUUGAUUUAAUUUCAAGGCAUGCAGGGAAGUAAGAAGAUUGAUGCCCAGAAAGUUUUUGUGAUGGAAUUUUACUAAAGAAUAAAUGUUAUGUAACAUUUCAAACACAGUGAGAUCCUUCAAGAUGAAGUGUGUGAUAUAAAUGUAAAAUAUUUGCAAACUAUAAUUUAGCAACCAUUUUAAAAUCACAGUCAGUAUUCCAACCUCUUACAUGUGGCAUGUGAGAUCCUUUGUCAACUGAGAACUAAGGGCAGUGAAUGUGAGAUUCAUUAAGUAAUUAUAUAGGAACAUUAAUUUCAAAUUAAUUUCAACAGUUGUUUUAGACAUUAGCAACCAAAUUAGAGGACCAAAGGCAAACAGUAAUGCAGCUUAAUACUUUUAAUAAAUGAAGGCAUUUGUAGUGAUUUACAUAAAUCGGAUGAUAAGUCCUCAUUUAAUGGGCUUCCAAGUGCCCCCACCUCCCCUUCCAGUUCACCUUUGAGCAUCCAGGCUGUGUCUGUGCUCUGCAUCUCCCCAGUUCUCUUAUUACAUUGUGCUUUUCUCAAAUCCUUCCUUCACUGCCUUCAUAAUAGACGGCCAGACUUUCUGGAAUUCGUUAGCGUGAGCUGGAACCCUUUAAGGCUUCUAAAUCUGCUGUACUGGGAGGCAUGGGAAGGGAAGGGAGCCACUAUUGACAAGGCUCCUAGGAAAAUAAAUGGUGGAGAACAAAAAAAGCAGAUUAGGGUAUUGGGGGAUGCUUGCCUACAGGCAGGGCAGGGAGAUGAAAACCAUCCCAUCAGCAAGUGAAUGGGUUACAUGUAAUGGAUAAUGACCAGCCCUUUUCAUCUUUCCUGCAGUGAGCUCAAGGCUCUUAAUGAAAAGGAACAGGCACUGGUCUGGACUUACAUAGCACCUGAUGGAUGCAGGGCAGCUCGGUGAGUCACCCAGGAGGUGAAACCAUUGCUGCCAAUGCUCCUUCCUUGGGUUCCUCCUACCAUGAGGAGAAAUUAGAUAAAUAAAAACCCUUCCUUCCCGAGGGAGCUGGUAGUCUGUGAGAUGUAAAAGGGGAAAUAGGGCAGCUGAGGAGGGUGAGUGACGGGCUGUGUUUCCCUUCCUCUUGGUAUUGGUUUGCAGUGUCCCAAUAGGAUGUAGUGGAAUAUACAAUGCAAACCUCUAACAUCCACAAAGAUUAAAACAAGGAAUUCUCCCAGUCACCGGGCUGUUCAGUGAUACUCUCCAGCUGGCAGCAACAUUGGGAACUUGUUUUUCAAGACUUGAGUGAUGAACUGCUGCUAUGCAGACACUAUUAUCAGGGAAAGCAUUGGGGUGGCUGGAUGGUACCAGCAUAUCCAGAAAACAAAGAUGUAAUGAUUCUGUUUGUGCUUAGCUCAGUAGAGCUUUCUUACACCAAAGAGAUCUGGUUCAGGUCAGAAAUGCAGAAAGAUACAUAACCUCUAGAAGAAGAGUUUGAUCAAUCUUACUCUGAAGUAUUUAAGAUGCUUGCUUUCCACCUCCCUUCACAAGCUGCCUGCUGUGUCCUCAAUACAGGUGAGUGGGAGCUGAUGCUUGAACAGGCAGAGCUGAGACCCAAGCACAUUUUCUUCUUAGCUGUCAUUUUGCCAUGGAGGAGGAUCCCAGAAGGACGUCAGGGCAAACAGAAGACCAUGGCAGCAAGAGGAAAUGUAAAAAACCCACCCCUUUUCCCUCUGAAGGUUAACAUGGGAAAGAGUAAAAAUCCCUCCUACACAGAAAGCAGCAUCUGAGAGGGUAUGACAGCACAUCAUAUGUUGAAUCUCUGUACAGAGCAAUUCACUCCAAGGUAUACAUGUGAAAUGCAAGACCUCUAAUAUAAGCAGUGGUGUAGAUGGAUCCAUUUAAAGACUAUUGCUUCAGUGGCUUUUUAGGGUAUAUUACUUUUUUUUUUUUUCUGGGGCAUAUUAAAAAUGUAGAGGGUGCUAUUCAAGCAGACCUCAUCCAACAGGUAUGACCUCAGUUCACUGAGUUUCCUGCUGCAGGGCCCAGCCUCUGAGCACUCAGUCCUGCAAACAGAUGUGGCUCUUCAGCCUUUUCAGAGCCAGGUUCUGGCUGCAGCUGAUCUCUGGUACCUCAGAAGAGAAAUGGGCUGUGCAGAUGUGGCUGCAAGAUGGGUGCUACUAUGUGUUGCCUAUGGGAAGCCUUGGCUUCAGCCUAUGAAUGUGACUUUCUCCCAGCCUCUGACUUGACAUUUCACAGAUGAAGUAUUAGCUGCUAAGAAAUUUAAGGGAUUUCACAAAAAUGUGCGUUGGAUUCUGUUCCUUGCUCUGUUACUCUGUGAUCAAUGUCCAUUAGAAGAGAGAGCAAAAUAAUGUUUCAUUGCCUGUGAGCAUCAGUAAGAUUACAUUAGCACUGUACAUCUUUCCAAGGAUGCUGUUUUUAGCCAUUACUAGGCUGAAGCUGGCCUCAUUAGAGCCGGUCUGUUUGCCUCUGUGGCUGCUUGCUCUCUGUACCACAAAGAGGGUCUGGAAUGGGCUAAGCCAGUUUUAGAGGAAUUAUAGCAGUGAAAAAAGUAAUUAUAAAACCGAUGGUACAGAUUUGAUUGCAACUUGAUGGAGCUGCAGAAACUGUGUGACUCAUCUUAAAUAGAAUAUAUAUGUAUUACAGUUAUAAAUAGCUUUCACCACACCCUCCCCCCCACCCCGUUCCAAUGGAAUAUUGAGAAAUUGCUGUUUUUCUUAAAAAUAACUUUGAUGUUAUACAGAUACCUGGAGCUUGCAGUUGCAUUGUUUGUUGUGAAAACACACCCUUUAGCAGCAACUUUCUGUCACAACAGUCAUGCACGAUGAUUUUGCCAACACAGCAUCAAGCAUAGCCUCGCUACCCUGAGAUUCUCAGUGAGACCAAGACAGCACACAGGAUACACUGCAAGAGAGGAUGGAAUGAGAUGGCCACUGGUAAAACAGCACAAAUAGUGGAUGUUCGGGAUCAGGCAGAAGAAAGGAAAGAGGAGCCUCCUGAGUGAAGAAGUUAGGAUGAAGCAAUGGACAUUCUGGUUUAGCUUCAGUGGAUAAAAUGGACUGGAUCCAGGUUGCAUCUUGAUUGAAAAGGCUAAUGUGAAUUGAGCUCAAUUCCUUGCCUGAAGAACAUACUGCAUACUUCCUAACCUGAAGAGCAUACCUGAAAGGCAUAGGGAACUUGGCCUGUUUGUUUCAUGUAGGAGACAGUUCAGUGGUGAUUCAGCUCCAGUUCUCAAGUUCUUUUAUGGAGAAGAAAAUUGUCCCAUAAGAAGAUGUUUCUUUAACCUUACUAUAAAGGCAGAACAAGACUGAGAGACUGGAGGCUCAAGUUAGACUAAUUCAUGCUGUACAUUUUUACAGCAGGUUCUUAAUUGAGCCAGUGAAAGAUUUUUCUCCCUCAGAUGCAGUGGUCUGCCCACCAUGGAACUGGUGGUCAAGAUUUGUUUUGGUGCUUUGUGAGAGAGAUGGUGUAGGUGCAAUGCAGGAAUGGAAAGAUGGACAUGUUAAAGGGGUAAGUGCAGACAAGUGAUUCAAUCCUUCCUCACCAUAGCUUUCCCGUUUUCCUUCUGCUCAGCAGUGCAGUGAUUUUUGCUAUGCAUUAAUGGUGUGCAACAUGAGUUUGUGUUGUAGUAUCUCUAACCUUUUGCAUGACAGAAGAUGCUGAAUCAGGCAGUCUGCCUCCCAGAUCUUUGUCUCCUCCUACUUUAGCUUCAUUGUUGUCAAAGGAUUUUUGUCACUUUCACAGUGGAGUGGGAUCAGAACCUGGAGACUGAGAACAUGGGGUAAAAAUGGUUGCAGCCAUGGACUCGAGGAAUCAGCACAGGGUUGUUCAUGGUGUGUAUGGAGCUGCUCCCCAGGCACGACUCAACCACUGGGUCCUUCUAUGUGUAAGGGGCACUCCUCCUUCUGAAGACUGCAAAGACAAAGAUUUAAAUAAAAGAUCUUAACUAGAUUCAAACUUCUUACAAACUUCCAAAAUACCGAACAAGGUGUACAAAUUCCCAUGUUUCCAAGGGGCAGUGCUUGGAGUCCAGUGGCUGGAAUCUGUCCUGUUGGAACCAUAUUGUGAGCUUCAGCUACGUAAAUUGGGAACAUAGAAGUGAUUUUUCUCCUAGGAAGUCAUGUUCACAAGAGCAUUCAGGGAGCUUCCUCCUUAGUUUUGCUGAAGCCAGUUGCAGUAGGUAGAAGAGUCUCAUGCUGGUCUCACCUUUGCUUUUCCACAAAGGUUUUGAAAACAGGAGAAGGGGUCAGGGAAGAACUACGAACUGACUCAAGAGAAAUUCCUGACAGCAAGAAUAUUGUGCAUAUUGACAAUACAGCACUGAGGUAUCAUAGGACAAAACCACCUUAAUAUAGUGAAGGUCCCACAUGCCUGAAGACCAGCUGUAAAAGGUCAUAUUAGAGGGUCUCACCAGAGGUGCCAGCUGCUGGGAGAGACUGACUGGAAGAGGUAUCCCUAAAGCCAAAACUUCCCCUCAGAGACAUGCCACUAGUUCUUCUAGCAGGUAGACGCAGCUGUCCUGUUUUGAGCGGGGAAAUUGUCAUGGAGAAGUAUUUUUGCCUUCAUAUGAGUAUAUCUCCAUGGUGCAAGCUGGUGACUUUUAUAGCUACGAUGAGUGACAAGCAACAGUGAUCAUCUGAGGCACUUCAGCAUCACCAUUAAUCGUCAUCACUGAUUGCUCUUAUGAAGCUUCAAGUGAUUGGAGAAACUGCCCCAACGUUCAUGAAAGGAGUUGAACCUCUUUAACCUACUGCUGGAAAAUCUUGAAAACAAAUAUGUUGGUUAGUUUGGGAGGGGAUGGGGUAAGUCAAAUACUGUGUUAGUGAGUUUGGAAAAACAUAGAAGGAAAGAAAAACGUAAUUGUAGAGACAGCAAGAGAGAUGAGAAAAUGCAGAAGAGGUAAAACCCAUAAUAGCCGCUGAGUUGAAGUGAGUAAGAAAUGUUGAAUUCAGGUUUGUUGCCACCACUGGGACAAAGGAUACCCUGUUCCCCAGAGAGGUACAUGUUGCAUCAGGAUGAAUGCUUGUGCCCAAUCCCCAUGCCUGAGUGCCAUGUUUUGCUAGUGUCUGGCAUGCAGAACGGCACCAGGGCCUGGGCUGUGCCUCUCUGAAUGUCAACAUAUUUGUUUUAGAAAGUGAUGGCAAGCUCCCAGUUGGAUAUCCUUUGGGAAGAAACCUUCCCGUGGGUAGAAGCUCCUCCUCCAGGAGGGUGUUCUGAUUUUGCUUGCUUUGAAAUGUUGGAAAUAGUUGCUGGUUUUCCAAGGACACCUAGUUGUGCAAGAAGUUGCAUGUCCCCACCUAGGCACACCCUGUGGCAUUAGCCACAAUGUGUCAUGACAGAAAUUGUUGUUUUCCAGAAAAUCUUUAGUUCCUGAGGCCAAGUGUCUCUGUGGGAAUGUAUUAUAUUGAGUUAGAGGUUUCAGAUCUGAAAUCAGAAUAAAUGCUGAAGAGAGUGGGAGACUAUGGGGGUUACUGACAACUCAUCCAAUGGCAGGGAGUAACUGGGUGGACCCAACUGCUGUUGAAGAACCUGUGAUCUGGAUGUAGAAGUGGCAUCCAGACCCACUGGUGAUUUGCCAGGUAGCAUCUUUGUCACUUGUCAUGCAGAGUUUCAGGAGCUUAUGGAUUUAUGCUGAGGAAAUGGUAAUGAAUGAAAAUUCCUUUUUUUUUUUUUUUUUUCUUUUUUUAAUCUCACACCUCUUAUUCAGGGAUAUUUUUGCUAUUUUAAAGAAUUCACAAUCUGACACACUGUUGGUCAUUUUUAUCUGGUAAAGUUUGCUGAAUUUAGAGCAGCAUGGUUCUCACUAUUUUCAAUCACCCACCACUUCUGUAUCUGAAAUUUGUACCUUCUCACAAAAGAUACCUUAUUUUCUGCUUUUCCCUGCCAAAACAGUCUUGCUCAUUUAUCCACAGUUGUCUUUUAAGAGGGUUACAGACCAUAGGAGACUUUUGAUCUCAGUACAACCCAGAUGGGCCCAUAUUUUGCUACACCUCCUGUGGACCCUGUAUCUUCCAAUCUGCCAUCUGUCCAUCCGCCUCUAUCAGGGAUUUCGGUAGAUGUAGUUGCCCACAGAUUUUUUAUUUCUAGUACGCAAAUUAAAAACUAUCCCCUGCUCAUAAAUGGGGCGAAAUAUGGGAAGGGAUGUUGGCCUGGAGGAAGGUGCACAGAGCUCCAGGACAACAAACAGUAGAGGGGAACAGCAGGCUCCCCCCAGCUGUCAUCUCCGAGGGAAUGAAGGCAAUGGGCUGACGAGAAGAACAGACAUUGCAUUUUCAGCAGAGUUAGCAUUAUCACAACACAGUACACCGUUUUCCAUAUUCCACUUAACUACUACCACUGGCAAAUAAAUGAAUUGCAUGCUAUUAAUGAUCAGUAGAAAUUCCUAUUAAAGUCUUUCAUAUUAUCAGAGGCCAAUUCUCCCUUGCAUAGUCACCCUUUGCUUUGAUGACUUUGAAGUUGCGUUUCUGUUUCUAUUGAAAUUAAACUGAGCAAAGGCACUAUUACAGUCA